rnacentral:rRNA from 1 species
CCUACGGGAGGCAGCAGUAGGGAAUAUUGCGCAAUGGGGGAAACCCUGAAGCAGCAACGCCGCGUGGAGGAUGACGGUUUUCGGAUUGUAAACUCCUUUUGUUAGGGAAGAUAAUGACGGUAUCUAACGAAUAAACACCGGCUAACUCCGUGCCAGCAGCCGCGGUAAUACGGAGGGUGCAAGCGUUACUCGGAAUCACUGGGCGUAAAGAGCGCGUAGGCGGGAUAGCAAGUCUGAAGUGAAAGCCUAUGGCUUAACCAUAGAACUGCAUUUGAAACUGUUAUUCUAGAGUAUUGGAGAGGUAGGUGGAAUUCUUGGUGUAGGGGUAAAAUCCGUAGAGAUCAAGAGGAAUACUCAUUGCGAAGGCGACCUGCUAGAACAUAACUGACGCUGAUGCGCGAAAGCGUGGGGAGCAAACAGGAUUAGAUACCCGUGUAGUC